rnacentral:rRNA from 1 species
AACUUUCAGCAACGGAUCUCUUGGCUCUGGCAUCGAUGAAGAACGCAGCGAAUGCGAUAAGUAAUGUGAAUUGCAGAAUUUAGUGAAUCAUCGAAUCUUUGAACGCACAUUGCGCCCCUUGGUAUUCCGAGGGGCAUGCCUGUUCGAGCGUCAU